CCCUGCUCAAACGCCUAUCACUCAGCAGCAAUAUGAUCAAAUCCUCAAGCUUCUCCAAAGGGAGAAAGGAGACAUUGCUGUAAUUACAACCGAUCACAUUGAGGAAACCAUUUCAGGAAAUCUCUCUUGGAAAGACAAGGAAGAUUGGUAGGCUCCUUAGUGGACUCUAUAUCAUUGAAAGAAUCCCACAAACCGAUACAGUCAUGAAUAUCACCACUCAAAACCUUUGGCACCUUAGAUUAGGACAUGCCCCCAUAGAUAAACUUAGACAUUUAGAUAUGGUAAGAAAAGAAGUUCCUAUAAUCAUCAAUGAUAAAUGUGUCAUCUGUGCUCAAGCCAAACAACCUCGACUGCCAUUUUCAUCUAGUGAGUCUAAAACUUCUCGUUGCUUUGAUUUGAUAUAUGUGGAUGUCUGGGGGCCUUAUAGAGAACCGACUUAUAAGGGACAUCGGUAUUUUCUUACAAUUGUUGAUGAUUUUUCCAGAUGUACUUGGACAUUUCUCAUGCUUAAUAAAAAUGAAUCUGUUUUUCACUUGAA